GAGACAACAGCUCUGCUAAGUGCCCUUGAGAGGGCACGGUGGGGUCAGCACCAAAGUCAGACCACUAAAGAGAAAAAGAGAGAAAGACAGGAUUGCAGAGGAGAAAUGAGAAUGGCAGAAAAAAUAAUUUUUUAAGCCAAAAGGAAUCAGAGAAGAGCAGAAGUGCCUCUAGGAUAAAGCGUAGCAGGCAGUUAGGGAAAAAGGGCUGUUAACUACCUUGAAGCUCUGACUACAUUAGAAAGCCUCGCAAGACAGUCGUUGCUUGCACGGGCAGGUAGAGAACUUUUCCUGUCCAUUGUUCUUCUGAAUUAUAAAUCACUGACCUCUUUAUGAUUUCUAAAGGGAAAAUGACUUCAAGCUUCUUAGAGUUCCCCUAAGGCAUUCUCUAUAUUCAAUAUAAUAUGGGAAGCCCUGGGUUUGUCUUUGUAUGUUUCAUCUGCAGUGACCUGAAAUCUUCAUAACCCUCUUCCUUUCUCCACUUAUCAACUAAGGGGUGGUUGGCAAUAAGGAUGGGUGGGAGAGAAAAAAAAACAGAAUUUGAGGAGGAGAGCAUUUAAACCAUCAGACUGUGUGUUCUGUGACAUCAAAGACUGGCAACAUUCUAAAGGAAAAGCAGCUGUGAAGUCAUAAUUAUGUUCACUUCCCACUGGCAACUGGCAAGCCCUUUAUUUUUGUGCAUUCGGAACUCACCAAGAAUAAAUAAAGUCCAUUCCCUCCUUGAGGGGCUAUUCUGCCAUUCCAUC
rnacentral:lncRNA from 1 species